AUACUUACCUGACGAGGACCAUACUGGGAUCAGGCAGCCAGUGGGUCCAGGGGGAAGCUUUGCCAUUGCACAUCGGCCUUAGCUGACCCUUGCGAUUACC
rnacentral:snRNA from 1 species